UUGUGUGAAUACAUAGCACAUUCGAGGUAGACGCAGAGAACUGAAACAUCUAAGUACCUGCAGGAAGAGAAAGAAAAUUCGAUUCCCUGAGUAGCGGCGAGCGAAACGGGAAAAGCCCAAACCAGCAAGCUUGCUUGUUGGGGUUGUAGGACUCCAAUAUGGUAGUUCUUUCAGAUAGUCGAAUGACUUGGAAAAGUCAGUCAAAGAGGGUAAAAACCCCGUAGACGAAAUGUGGAAGACACCUAGGAGGAUCCUGAGUACGGCGGAACACGAGAAAUUCCGUCGGAAUCCGGGAGGACCAUCUCCCAAGGCUAAAUACUCCCUAGUGACCGAUAGUGAACCAGUACCGUGAGGGAAAGGUGAAAAGCACCCCGGAAGGGGAGUGAAAUAGAACCUGAAACCGUGUGCCUACAACAAGUCAAAGCCCGUUAAUGGGUGAUGGCGUGCCUUUUGUAGAAUGAACCGGCGAGUUACGAUUGCAUGCGAGGUUAAGUUGAAGAGACGGAGCCGCAGCGAAAGCGAGUCUGAAUAGGGCGUUUGAGUAUGUAGUCGUAGACCCGAAACCAUGUGAUCUACCCAUGUCCAGGUUGAAGGUGCGGUAAAACGCACUGGAGGACCGAACCCACGUACGUUGAAAAGUGCGGGGAUGAGGUGUGGGUAGCGGAGAAAUUCCAAACGAACUUGGAGAUAGCUGGUUCUCUCCGAAAUAGCUUUAGGGCUAGCCUCGGAAUUGAGAAUGAUGGAGGUAGAGCACUGUUUGGACUAGGGGCCCAUCUCGGGUUACCGAAUUCAGAUAAACUCCGAAUGCCAUUCAUUCAUAUCCGGGAGUCAGACUGUGAGUGAUAAGAUCCAUAGUCGAAAGGGAAACAGCCCAGACCACCAGCUAAGGUCCCAAAAUAUAUGUUAAGUGGAAAAGGAUGUGGGGUUGCACAGACAACUAGGAUGUUGGCUUAGAAGCAGCCACCAUUUAAAGAGUGCGUAAUAGCUCACUAGU
rnacentral:rRNA from 1 species